CUGGCAUAAACCCUGAGGGAGGACUUACCCAUCUUUCCAGUUCAGGGACCAACGAUGGAGAGUAGAUUAAAGUUGGUCUUCUCUGCUUACUUUCAUUUUCAGGUUGGAUAUUCUUGAACAGGAAAUAAUGAAGGAGACCCUGGUCAGUGGGACCCACUUCGUCAUGAGCUUUCUAGCAGAACAGGUCAUGCCUCCUUUUGGAGAGUGGGGCUCACCUCUGAGCCGGGGGCCUUGUGCUUGCAGGACUACCCACCCCAGAGCUUGUACGAUCCCAUCAGUCUGCCAGUCUGCAUCAACUGGUGCCAAGACAGCGUGGCACGGUGGGGAAGAGCUAAUGUCUGAGAAGUUUUGUCUACACAGCAGCAAGUGUGUCAGGAAACAGGCAGAUGGCGGGCUGGAUGUCGCUCUUUGCAUCUUUGUUGGAGUCACUGCUGGCUGUGGAACCGGAAUCGGCAAAGGCAUCGCUUCCCCAAGGAAGAGAUUAUCGGGAGAGCGUCACACAGACUCUUGGCGGGCUGGGUGGGAUCCUCUCCCGGAGGCCUCCAUCUGUUUUGUGAAGGAGGCGCGGCAAGCAGUGGCAGCCCUGCACUUACCCGGGCCAUAUUACAGAUGCGGAAUAUUCUGUGGAUGAUGUCCUCGUCGAUGUCCGCGGAGACGAACUCCACCUGGAUGGGUCCGUAGCACCCGGAGGUCUUCUCGGGCCAGUACUGCAUACAGAGCUGGGAGGAGAAAAGAGGUCACAGAGGCAGGCCAAGGACACAGGGCGGGGAUGGGCAUCAGAGACAUUUGUCACUGGGCCUUUCUCACUGCGGGCAGGACACACCGGCUAGAGUGGUCGAGUAUUGCACAGGAACUGGACUUGGCUAUCCUAUUUGGGAGCAGGUUUUUGGUUUUCGGUAUUGAAAUGUCAAGGCUCUGAACCCAGAAACACUGGAUGGAAACAUCUUUGCCAUCCUGAUUUCAAAUCCUUUGUUAGAUUUGCUAGACUUCAGUUUCCUCGUCUGUAAAAUGGAGAGCAUGAUAUCUACAUUGAAAUGCUGCUGUUGGGAUUAGACAGACACAAUAUGGAUCUAUUUUCAUAUGAAGACGGUGGCAGACUUUCCCUGGUUGCAGGAAAACCUACGAUGUUCAUUCACGAUCAGAUCAUGACUGACUCUCUCAAAAGACAGGCUGGGGCCUCGGGCAAUCUUGGUUCCAAAUCCAGGCUCUGCUGCUUAGUCCUUUUGUGUCUCAGACCUCAGUUUUCUCAUAUGUAAAUUAGGGACCAUUAUGCUUCCCUUGCACUAUAAGAAAUGUUACCUGGUAUUGACAGAUCUGGCUGAUGAUUUUUCCAAUUUUCUGGGAAUGGGAAUCAGAACCCAUAGGCAAUGGUCGCUCUUUGGUCUAAGAGAGCAGUUGUUCAACCAGAGGCUGUUUUGUCCCUCCAGGAGACAUCUGCUAGUGUCUGAAGACACCUUAUUGUCACACUUGGGAAUUGCUAGAGGCAUCUAGUGCAUAGAGGCCAGGAUGUUGCUGAAUAUCCCACAAUGCAUAGGACAGCUUCCCCAGGAAGUUAUCUGGUCCCAAAUACCAGUAGUGCAGAGACUGAGAAAGCUUGGUCAUAAAUUGUUCAUGUUUAUGGGUACCAUCUUGAAAGAGAGAUGAAUGCUUCAUCCACUGUAUCUCAUGAGUUGAUAGGUGACUUUGGUUGGGGAAAGAAUAUUGAAGUGACUGUGGAUUGGCUUCGAGGUGUUGAUUGGUUUCCAAAGGGCAUAGAGAUGCCAAGGUGGACCACAGAGGACAGCUAAGACUAGGGCUGCAGGCCUGUGGGGCCAUUCCAGGAUGGACAGAGGCCAUGUGAUGGAAAGACCAUGUGAGAGUUACCCAGGAGGUUCAGCUGAAACUCACAAUGACCCACCAAGGCUUCUGAGAGCAGUUUGGGUCUGUGGUGACAGCCACCACCCACACCAAGCAUGCAGACAAAGAGCUAGAUUGACAGAGGUGACCCACGGAGGUGUGGUGUCCUCCUUUGGUACCGGAUUUUCACAGAAGAGAAUGACAGCCGAGGGGACUUUCCCCUGUGUUGCUAAAGAACAAACUCAUUCUGGUGAGUCCCAUGCCAGACUAAAAUUAGAAGGGAAGAAAAGAGAGGAGGGGAGAUGUAAGAGAGGGAAAUAUCACUUCUCCCACCUUCCAAUGGUGGGUACCCAAAUUAGCUUAGGGAUAACAUCAUUCACCUUACAGCAGUGGUCAGCAUCCUAUUUCCAAAACCCAUAGUAAAGAAAGUUUUAUAAAUAAAGCUUUAUUGAAACAUGGUUACACUUACUUAUGUAUUGUCUAUGACUCCUGUCAUGCCAUAACCAAAGAGUAGCAUUGACAGAGGCCAUCUGGCCCGAGGAGCCUUCGAUAUUCCCUAUCCGGCCCGUCACAGAAAAAUGUUGCCAACUCCUCUGCAGGGUUGUUGUGAGAACAAAGGAGAUAAUUCAUGUAAAUAAAACCUUUAGCACAGUACUAGACGUGGAAUAAACACUUAUU